UUAUUUCUUCUCCAUUUUAUCAAGCCGUUUCAUUUUAGUCAGUUGUACUACUUCCAUUCUUUUUUAAUCGAUCAGUUUCAUAUUUCCCAAUCUCUUCAUAUAUUUUCCCUCACCUCUUUUUAAUCUCAAAUAUUCUCUCUGCAGCUGUUUGGCCAUUUUUUCAAGCAUAUCUCAAAUGGGCGAUUGGAAUUCAAAAGAGGGUUACUAAGACCUUUUUUUUUCAAGAGGGUUGCGGUUUCUUUGCGUCAGCGUAAUUGGUGUGUAUCUUCGAUUCUCUUACGAUUUCAAAUUCAGCAGUAGUAUUAGAAUCGGCAGGUUCAUGUUGCGGUUCAAUAGUAAUUCAUCUCUUGAUAAGAUUGCACGGAUCUUAUAUACCCACACGCAUCAACUGUGGUUCUUAUUUCUAUGAUCCCAGUGCUCUUUCAACUUUUGGAAAGAUAGUGGGAAAAAAUCAUGAACCAACUGUGAGGAUUAUGUGCAAUGAUCAUGGAGUCUUAGGAUAAUGCAUUUUAUAUGCUGAACACAGUUGAUCUCAAAGUAAAGGACUGCGAAAUGAAAAAUGUAUGCAACACAUCGAACUAUAAGAUUUUUUUCCUUGGAGGGACUGCAAUGGUGGUCAUCGAUGCUUCCAUGUUGUACUUGAUAAAGUGGAGCUCAAAUGCAGAAGUUCAUCAUAGGGUCCUUCAUAGAUUGGUCACUAAACUGCGAUAAGAUCCUUUACACGCAUGAUUCAACAUCCUUUCUUCGUUGACACAGUCCGCAGGUAGUGGUAAGGUUUAUCACUGCUCUAAGCACUCAGCUUCUAUCUUACUGAAGUAGUCCACCAGGCCUAUGGCCCUUAUCAUCCAAUGCCAGUGUUGCAUGAUACCUUAAACAACUGCAGCUGUGGACCUACUUCAUUAGAAUUCCAUAUGCCAAUGGGUCCCGUCUUAUUUGUAGUGAAGGGGAGUGAACAAAAGCAGUAUUUGAUGGAGAUGGUCAAAUUUCACGCUUAUAUGAAUGACAGUAUUUGUAAGAGGAAUGAAGUUUUGGAUGAAUCCACGUAUUUAUCAAGAAAACUUCAUCUACGGGAUUACGACUAUUUACCAGUUGAUAGACAGUUUGUGAUGGUACAUUUCUCAUUUUGGUAAAAUUAUUGCAAGUUUGUGGGAUUUUUUUUUUUUUUUUUUUUAAUAUAAUAAAUUGACGAACCAACCAA